GUUAUCAUUAACGAUUAUCUGUAAUAUCUCCACCUGCUACAUGGAUGUUACCAUAUAUAAACCACCAUCUUGUAACACUCCAAAUACACUCUGGUUUUACCCUUUAACAGUUUAAUUCACGUUCCUAAAACAGUUCGAAAAUGUUGGCUGCUUCUGUUACACUUUUCCUGGUGGCGUCCGUCUACGGAGAAUUUAUUAUUGCUGGGGGUUUCACAGAUGUUCAAGUGACACAAGACAUCAGAAACGCUGCUAUUUUUGCUACCGACAACAUCAAUGCUGAGAACAAACAACUUGGUUCUAAUUGGCACACACUCGCCAAAAUCAACAACCCAUCUCAACAGGUUGUGAAUGGUAUGAAGUAUAGAAUGGAGAUUAUUUUGAAGGAAUCUGAAUGUCGCAAUCAUGAAAACAAUAACGGUGCCUCCCUCAUGGAUUGUCCUCCCAUUGAUGAUGGCGUUACCAAGAAAUGCUUUAUAGAGGUUUGGCACCAAGCCCGAAGAAAUCCAGAAUAUAUUCUAGAGAAAGAUAUGUGUAUUGAAAUUUAAAACUGAACUUCUAAAACGAGAACUAUAUAAUAUAUGAAAAUAUUUAAACUAUUUGAAUAAAC